GGGCCCGUAGCUCAGUCGGUAGAGCACCGGCCUUUUAAGCCGGGUGUCUAGGGUUCGAUUCCCUACGGGCCCGC
rnacentral:tRNA from 1 species